rnacentral:lncRNA from 1 species
CUCAUUUGGAUGCUCUCCUUCGCCCUCCGUGUCAGUAGAGCCUUUCUAAUUUGUUUUAAUUGUUAAUUUUAAUGAGUAGUGUUUUUCUGAUAACAUUUUAGCAUGUUUUGUUGUUUUAGAGAGGGUUUUUAUUGCAUUGCACAAAGCCUGAAGCACCUCAAUGUGGGAGCAAUUUGGAAGCUAAAUUAUUAUUAUUUAUUUAAAUCAAACCCUCCAGCCUCUUUAACCGUUUGGCUGAUUCUGUAAUUGCAGUACCAGUGUGAUGGAAAUGCUCAUGGGGCUGGCAAGGAAGCGUCUGGGUACUCUUCUCAGCUCUGUGACCAUGGCAUAUCCCCAGCCACUGGUUCUGCUUCCUGGGAAGAUUUUUUGGAUCCAGAGCUGUGCUGUUACUCCAGGUUUGCCCGUUUGGAGGCACCUGGAGUAGGACACGAGUAGAAACCUUCUGUUUCAGGGUCUCGUGCCAUCCAUGGAAUAAGCAAAAUUUGGGGGUAUGCAGCAAAGCACCAAUUUCAGCUCAGUUUUUAUCUGGUUGUGGCAGCAGGGCAGGGUGCAGCUGGGGCUGAAUUGCUUUUGGAAAGGGUGGUGCUUCUUUGAUGUGAAGUCACAACAGUCCUUAGGUCAAGGGCAUCUAUGAUGCUCUUUGAAGCUCUCUCCUGUCCCUUUGCUGCCGUGGCCAGUGGGGCUGUGUGGGUGCACCAUGCCCCUGGGGCCCCUGAGACACUUCAUGGCUCCAAGAGGCCACCAAGACUCACCAGACUGUGUCCAGUUAAAAAUCUUCAGAUAGCUCAAGGCGCUCAUGUUUUCAGCGUGCUGAAGGCAAUUAGAGAGGAGCGGAGCUGGCAAGACCAGGGACAACGCUGGAGAAGCUGCGACUAUGGAGCUGUAAUAACAAUUUAGAUUCUAUUUAGAUACAAGUGGCUACAAGUCGUGUCUCAAUAUUGAAUCAAUCGACACAGACAAAUGGUUUAAUAUGGAGGUUUUCGCCGGAGAGGAAGGGCUUUAGAGGCACCCAGAUGGGGUGGACAUCAGGGACAGAAGCAGAGCUUCUGGCUGCAAGAGGGGAGACAGAAAGGGGUGAUCCUGUGGGGAACAAAUGCCCUUUCUCGCAGCUCUUGGCGCUCUGGGCUGGCUUAUGCUCGGCAUCGAUUGAGGAGGUAUUUUUAGAGGCAGUCUGGUAUUUGUUAACCUUCUUGUGCAGAGUGGAACUCACUUCUCUAAAGCAUGUGUGCGCGCACGCGUGCGGGAGGCAGGAGAGAUCCCGCCAGAGAUAAAACCUGAGUAGCCAGCCCCAGCCAAAGGCCGGGCACAGCUGUAUAAAUAGGAGGUGGCCCCCCUCACCCCCCACCUCCUCACAGUCAGUGGGGCUGGUGACACUGGAGAAUGCUUUGCUGUCAUUAGUUAAUUGAGCUGCCGAUGUUAAGAAAAGGUUAUGUAUUUCUCCUGGUAGUUUUUCUUUGUAAAACUCUGACAGGGAUCUCUUGCAAUAGCAGUGGUAAUGUCCCAGCUGGGGCGUCCAAG